AGAAGGUUUUGAUAAAAUACUAUCAAUUGCAGGUAAAAGAAAGAUUUAAGAAUCCCCAGAGACUAUACGCUAGAACAAUUCUAUUUUUAUAGAUGCGUAAGAUAUAGUCCCAACUGCAUGGAGACAUGCAG
rnacentral:autocatalytically_spliced_intron from 2 species